rnacentral:rRNA from 1 species
CGUAGGGUGCAAGCGUUGUUCGGAAUUACUGGGCGUAAAGGGCGCGUAGGCGGGCCCGUAUGUCGAUUGUGAAAGCCCUGGGCUUAACCCGGGAAUGGCAGUCGAAACUGCGGGUCUUGAGUGCUUGAGAGGAUGGCGGAAUUCCCGGUGUAGAAGUGAAAUUCGUAGAUAUCGGGAAGAACACCUGAGGCGAAGGCGGCUGUCUGGCGAUGCACUGACGCUGAGGCGCGAAAGCGUGGGGAGCAAACAGGAUUAGAUACCCUGGUAGUCCACGCCGUAAACGAUGGUUACUAGGUGUCCGGGAUGUUAACCUCCUGGGUACCGUAGCUCACGCAUUAAGUAACCCGCCUGGGGAGUACGGUCGCAAGACUA